rnacentral:snoRNA from 1 species
AUGGAACUGAUGAUUAUUUCCCCAGAUGAUCGAAGGUGAACAUACUGUGCGAAUUUGUUUCUCUUUGGAGAAAUCAAGCCUAAUAGUCUGAUCCAU